GCCGGAGUGGUGGAACUGGCAGACACGCUGGACUCAAAAUCCAGUGAGGCUUACCCCUCGUGUGGGUUCAAAUCCCUCCUCCGGCACCA
rnacentral:tRNA from 1 species